GAUGAACGCUGGCGGCGUGCCUAAUACAUGCAAGUCGAGCGAACAGACGAGGAGCUUGCUCCUCUGACGUUAGCGGCGGACGGGUGAGUAACACGUGGAUAACCUACCUAUAAGACUGGGAUAACUUCGGGAAACCGGAGCUAAUACCGGAUAAUAUAUUGAACCGCAUGGUUCAAUAGUGAAAGACGGUUUUGCUGUCACUUAUAGAUGGAUCCGCGCCGCAUUAGCUAGUUGGUAAGGUAACGGCUUACCAAGGCAACGAUGCGUAGCCGACCUGAGAGGGUGAUCGGCCACCCUGGAACUGAGACACGGUCCAGACUCCUACGGGAGGUACCAGUAGGGAAUCUUCCGCAAUGGGCGAAAGCCUGACGGAGCAACGCCGCGUGAGUGAUGAAGGUCUUCGGAUCGUAAAACUCUGUUAUUCGGGAAGAACAAAUGUGUAAGUAACUAUGCACGUCUUGCCGGUACCUAAUCAGAAAGCCACGGCUAACUACGUG
rnacentral:rRNA from 1 species